rnacentral:RNase_P_RNA from 2 species
AGGAGAAGGCGGAUGGCUGACGGUAGACUCGUUCUCAGAACGGGUCGGCUGAGGAAAGUCCCCUCUCCAAGAGAAGGUGGGCUGCCAGAGCAGCAGGGCGAGAGUCCUGGCAAGGGCACAGAAACGGCACAGCCUCAGGAUAAUGUGAUGAUUCCUUUGAGGAUGAAGUCUCCCGAGGAUUUGUUGAAACGGCGACACCCCACCGGAGCAAGCUCAAACGGCCGAAACGAUUCUCAUCGUCGGCGGGUAGAGUGCAUUAGUCGAAUGCCAUCAGCCUCGAAAGAGGUGAACAGAAAGGGGCUUAUGUCCUUCACCU